rnacentral:lncRNA from 1 species
UGGGGGUCGGGUGGGGGAGAGAGGGGUUGUAUGUUGGAGGAGGGAAUAUGUAGGAAAUCAGGGUGACAUUUAAAGCUGAGGGUGCAUAGUGUCCCCCACCAGUGUUUCAGGGAGAAAUUUGAACUCGCAUUUGCACACAAACAGCAGGAUUUUAAGAGAGCCCAGGUGAAGGCGUCACCCUCAGAAUGGAAGGGGUGGGGAGAAGGGCCGGGGUGCAGUCUCAGGGAGGAGGUACCCUUAGCUGCAGAAUCACCGUCCUGCACGUGUGUACCUCUGCAAUGUGGUCAAAUAGAACGGCUGUGGACGCGACACCACCCAUUUGCCUUUUAAGUUAGCAAGCCCAAAGUAUGCUUUAAUGUUUACUUUUUAAGAUUUUUAGAAAAGGUAGAAGACGACUCUAUUUCCUAAUAUGGUAAUUACUGCUUUUGUCAAAAUGUGAAUGCUGCGUGCACAUUUCUGCAAUAGCAUUAGUGAACACCAUGUUGAAAUCACAUUUUUUUUUCCCUUUUCCUCCAAUUUUGUGGGAUUCUCGUUCCUUGUUGAGGCACCCUUGGCUAAUGGGAAAAGCACUGGAUCUGGUAGAGAAAAAGAAUUUGAAUCUCCUCUACCACUCUUCACUCAUGGGCUCUUGGGCAAAUUCCCUAAGUUUCCCUGACCUCCAGUUCCAGCAAGGUGGAAUGGGAAGUGGGGCCUCAUCAUAUGGGCAUUGCAGGACUGUUGUGAGGGUCAGAUGAAAUUAUGCAUCCAGAGGUUGGCACCAGAAUACAUUCAAUAAAUAUUAUUUUGGUGCCAUGCUAAGCGUCAGUUAAAAGUUUUAAGGGUUGGGCUGGGUGGUGGCUCAUGCCUGUAAUCCUAGCAUGUUGGGAAGGCAAGGCAGGAGGAUUCCUUGAGCCCAGGACUUAGACCAGUCUGGGCAACAUAGAGAGAUCCUGCUUCUAUAUAAAAAUUUUAAAAAUUAGCUGGACAUGGUGGGUGCAUUUGUAGUGCCAGCUACUCUGGAAGCUGAGGUAGAAGGAUUGCUUGAGCCCAGGAAUUUGAGGCUGCAGUGAGCCAUGAUUGUGUCACUGCACCCCAGCCUGGGCAAGAGUGAGACUUUGUCUCAAAAACAAAGUGUUAAGACUUAAAGUAAUAUAUGAAUUUACAAAUAUUUCUGCAGAUUCCUAGCUUAAGAAAAGAAUGAAAUUAAUGUAAUCCUAAAAUAGUUUAAGUAAAGGAUAGAGUGCUAGAAAGGGGAGACUCCAAGCUCUGUCGUGUCCACAUCAUACUGUGGAUCUUGGCUAAGUCAUUUCUCUUCUCUGGGGUUGCUGUGGUCUGAAGGUUUGUGUUUCCCCCAAAUUCAUAUGUUAAAAUUCUAACCCUCAAGGUGAUAGUAUUAGGAGGUGAUUAGGUCAUAUGGGUGGAGCCCUCAUCAAUGGGAUUAGUGCCCUUAUAAAAGGAGCCCCAGAGUAAUCCCUCAUCCCUUCUGUCACGCGAGGACACAGUGAAAAGAUGGCCAUCUCUGAACCAGGGAGAGGAUCCUCACCAGACACCAAAUCUGAUGUCUUGAUCUUGGACUUCUUAGCCUUCAAAAUGACCCCAGAAAUGCCAAUGAUCCAGCUUCAGUGAUGCAAAUGAAGACCUCAGGGAUCAACAGAGCAAUGAGAGAAGGAACCUAGGUCCCUGAAUGACUCUGGAGCAGAGAUGCCCCAGACAUCUUACCAUGCCCCUUACCUCGAAUGGUAGAAGGUAUUCAUAGAAAUAGCUGUGGAAUGGCAGAAAAACCAUUAGGAAGAAGUUGAACUGCCUUAACUUCAAGUCUGAGGCUUUCAUUAGCUGGGUGGUCUCCAAAAACUGGACUGACCUCUUUGGCCUUCACCAUCCUCACCCAUGAUGAAGGAGAUGAGGACGCAGACACAACAGAGGAAAGACCAUGUGAUCACACAGAGAAGAUGGUAGUCUACAAGCAAUGUACAGGGACCUCAGAAGGAACCAACCCUGCUGGCACCUUGAUCUUGGACCUCUAGCCUCCAGGACUGUGAGAAAAUAAAUGUCUGUUGUUUAUGCCACCCAAUCUGUGGUAUUUUGUUUUGGC